rnacentral:rRNA from 1 species
UGGGAUAAGCGUUGGAAACGACGUCUAAUACUGGAUACGACUGCCGGCCGCAUGGUCUGGUGGUGGAAAGAUUUUUGGGUUGGGGAUGGACUCGCGGCCUAUCAGCUUGUUGGUGAGGUAAUGGCUCACCAAGGCGACGACGGGUAGCCGGCCUGAGAGGGUGACCGGCCACACUGGGACUGAGACACGGCCCAGACUCCUACGGGAGGCAGC